rnacentral:rRNA from 1 species
AACGUACGCUGGCGGCACGCCUAACACAUGCAAGUCGAACGAAGUAGCAAUACUUAGUGGCAGACGGGUGAGUAACAUGUAGGUAUCUGCCCUUUGGCCUGGAAUAACACGAGGAAACUUGUGCUAAUACCGGAUAAGUCUUUACGGAGAAAGCUUUAUGCACCAUUGGAUGAGCCUGCACUUGAUUAGUUUGUUGGUGGGGUAAUGGCCUACCAAGACUGUGAUCAAUAGCUGAUUUGAGAGGAUGAUCAGCCACAUUGGGACUGAGACACGGCCCAAACUCCUACGGGAGGCAGCAGUGGGGAAUCUUGCACAAUGGAGGAAACUCUGAUGCAGCGAUGCCGCGUGAGUGAAGAAGGCCCUUGGGUUGUAAAGCUCUUUCGUCGGGGAAGAAAAUGACUGUACCCGAAUAAGAAGGUCCGGCUAACUUCGUGCCAGCAGCCGCGGUAAUACGAAGGGACCUAGCGUAGUUCGGAAUUACUGGGCUUAAAGAGUUCGUAGGUGGUUGAAAAAGUUAGUGGUGAAAUCCCAGAGCUUAACUCCGGAACUGCCAUUAAAACUUUUCAGCUAGAGUACGAGAGAGGAAAGCAGAAUUUCUAGUGUAGAGGUGAAAUUCGUAGAUAUUAGAAAGAACACCAAUGGCGAAGGCAGCUCUCUGGAUCAUUACUGA